UUGAACGCUGGCGGCAGGCCUAACACAUGCAAGUCGAGCGGUAGCACAGAGAGCUUGCUCUCGGGUGACGAGCGGCGGACGGGUGAGUAAUGUCUGGGAAACUGCCUGAUGGAGGGGGAUAACUACUGGAAACGGUAGCUAAUACCGCAUAAUGUCGCAAGACCAAAGUGGGGGACCUUCGGGCCUCAUGCCAUCAGAUGUGCCCAGAUGGGAUUAGCUAGUAGGUGGGGUAACGGCUCACCUAGGCGACGAUCCCUAGCUGGUCUGAGAGGAUGACCAGCCACACUGGAACUGAGACACGGUCCAGACUCCUACGGGAGGCAGCAGUGGGGAAUAUUGCACAAUGGGCGCAAGCCUGAUGCAGCCAUGCCGCGUGUGUGAAGAAGGCCUUCGGGUUGUAAAGCACUUUCAGCGGGGAGGAAGGCGUUAAGGUUAAUAACCUUGGCGAUUGACGUUACCCGCAGAAGAAGCACCGGCUAACUCCGUGCCAGCAGCCGCGGUAAUACGGAGGGUGCAAGCGUUAAUCGGAAUUACUGGGCGUAAAGCGCACGCAGGCGGUCUGUCAAGUCGGAUGUGAAAUCCCCGGGCUCAACCUGGGAACUGCAUUCGAAACUGGCAGGCUAGAGUCUUGUAGAGGGGGGUAGAAUUCCAGGUGUAGCGGUGAAAUGCGUAGAGAUCUGGAGGAAUACCGGUGGCGAAGGCGGCCCCCUGGACAAAGACUGACGCUCAGGUGCGAAAGCGUGGGGAGCAAACAGGAUUAGAUACCCUGGUAGUCCACGCCGUAAACGAUGUCGAUUUGGAGGUUGUGCCCUUGAGGCGUGGCUUCCGGAGCUAACGCGUUAAAUCGACCGCCUGGGGAGUACGGCCGCAAGGUUAAAACUCAAAUGAAUUGACGGGGGCCCGCACAAGCGGUGGAGCAUGUGGUUUAAUUCGAUGCAACGCGAAGAACCUUACCUGGUCUUGACAUCCACAGAACUUUCCAGAGAUGGAUUGGUGCCUUCGGGAACUGUGAGACAGGUGCUGCAUGGCUGUCGUCAGCUCGUGUUGUGAAAUGUUGGGUUAAGUCCCGCAACGAGCGCAACCCUUAUCCUUUGUUGCCAGCGGUCCGGCCGGGAACUCAAAGGAGACUGCCAGUGAUAAACUGGAGGAAGGUGGGGAUGACGUCAAGUCAUCAUGGCCCUUACGACCAGGGCUACACACGUGCUACAAUGGCAUAUACAAAGAGAAGCGACCUCGCGAGAGCAAGCGGACCUCAUAAAGUAUGUCGUAGUCCGGAUUGGAGUCUGCAACUCGACUCCAUGAAGUCGGAAUCGCUAGUAAUCGUAGAUCAGAAUGCUACGGUGAAUACGUUCCCGGGCCUUGUACACACCGCCCGUCACACCAUGGGAGUGGGUUGCAAAAGAAGUAGGUAGCUUAACCUUCGGGAGGGCGCUUACCACUUUGUGAUUCAUGACUGGGGUG
rnacentral:rRNA from 1 species